AAGACCUGUAGGCCUACUCUUGGCACGCAAGACGUAAAUUCAUAUUGUGUUAAGAUCGAACACAAGUUUAUGGCAAUUUCAAGUUAGAUUUGGCACUCCCGACAUGAAUUGGCUCACGAUCGUGUUCUAAUUCGAAUUGGUUCUAACUUGUGUUGGAUUGUGAGUCAAUUUUGACAGUUACUCUGUGAAAGAAUGAAUGAAAACGAAAAAAAAAACAAAUUGUCAUUAAAAUUCUUGUUGUCAUGGCCGGUCGGUGGAUUUUCAUAAUAAGUAACAACGUAAAAAGUUUAAAAACCAAUAUUAUGGUAAGUUGUUCAGUUACCAAACGUGUUAGAAUCAUCUGUAUAUCCACUAUGAUCAUUAUAAUGAACCUAGUUUUUCCCCACAGAGUUUCGCAACUCGGCCGUCGUACCGCCAGACGAAAUUACUUGUAGAAUAUCUAGAAAGUUACCCAGGAAUGGCCAGGGAUCUUCUUAAGACCGACCUAGGGAAGUUAAAAUUAUGAGAAAAUAACAUCAAUGGCCUCGACCUUAAAUGCGGUCGAAGGGUCUUGAUAAGAUAGACGUAACGUAAAACUGAGGACUGCUGUGGUAAAUGGCAGGAUCAUAACAUACUUAAAGUCGAGGUGCAUCAUACCCAGGCCUAAACUAUCAAGCCGCUCAGCUCAUCCUCACAGCACCUCACAGCAUAGAUCCAGCCGCCGCUACCAAGUUGCUGUAGAAGUAGACAGAGUGAUGGCCAUAGAGGAAAAGCAGGGAGAGGCUGAACUGCUGACAGCAUGGGCUAAUGCCCUAAAGCCUAAAGGGGACCUUGCAGCAGCUGCCCGUGAUGGAGUCAAUAUCCUCAUAGAAAUUGCGCAACAGUUAUCAAGAAAUACAAAGUUAAGGGCAUCUAGACCCAUAACCAUCGUCACUAGUUAUGGGUCCAGAUGCUGUUGUGCAGUAGUGGAUGAUGUGAUGAUUUAAGUAGAAAUUUAUAUUUCCUGUGACUAAAAUAUUAUUUUAUAUUAGGUAAUACCUAUGUUGAUUUAAAUAUAUGAACAUUUUUGUUUUAAGAAAUGUUGAAUAAUAUUAGAAAAAGUGUUCCUAUGUUAAUAUGUCCCUUAUAUAUUAUAAGUUUGUAAGUAUUUCAACAGUGGUGGUGAAAUUAUUAUUCUACAAAAGUAUGUCGGUAUUAUUAUAAAGAUAAAGAAUUCUGAAACUUA